rfam:Camelus ferus unplaced genomic scaffold scaffold1441, whole genome shotgun sequence.
GAGGGUGUAGCUCAGUGGUAGAGCACAUGCUUAGCAUGCACGAGGCCCUGGCUUCGGUCCUCAGUACCUCCA